rnacentral:rRNA from 1 species
CAAGUUUGACCUCAAAUCAGGUAGGAUUACCCGCUGAACUUAAGCAUAUCAAUAAGCGGAGGAAAAGAAACCAACUGGGAUUACCUUAGUAACGGCGAGUGAAGCGGUAAAAGCUCAAAUUUGAAAUCUGGUACUUUCAGUGCCCGAGUUGUAAUUUGUAGAAUUUGUCUUUGAUUAGGUCCUUGUCUAUGUUCCUUGGAACAGGACGUCAUAGAGGGUGAGAAUCCCGUUUGGCGAGGAUACCUUUUCUCUGUAAGACUUUUUCGAAGAGUCGAGUUGUUUGGGAAUGCAGCUCAAAGUGGGUGGUAAAUUCCAUCUAAAGCUAAAUAUUGGCGAGAGACCGAUAGCGAACAAGUACAGUGAUGGAAAGAUGAAAAGAACUUUGAAAAGAGAGUGAAAAAGUACGUGAAAUUGUUGAAAGGGAAGGGCAUUUGAUCAGACAUGGUGUUUUUUGCAUGCACUCGCCUCUCGUGGGCUUGGGCCUCUCAAAAAUUUCACUGGGCCAACAUCAAUUCUGGCAGCAGGAUAAAUCAUUAAGAAUGUAGCUACUUCGGUAGUGUUAUAGCUUUUUGGAAUACUGUUAGCCGGGAUUGAGGACUGCGCUCGGCAAGGAUGUGGCAC